rnacentral:rRNA from 1 species
GACGAACGCUGGCGGCGUGCUUAACACAUGCAAGUCGAACGCUGAAGCUCAGCUUUUGUUGGGUGGAUGAGUGGCGAACGGGUGAGUAACACGUGAGUAACCUGCCUCCUUCUUUGGGAUAACGCCCGGAAACGGGUGCUAAUACUGGAUAUUCACUGGUCUUCGCAUGGGGGUUGGUGGAAAGGGUUUUUCUGGUGGGGGAUGGGCUCGCGGCCUAUCAGCUUGUUGGUGGGGUGAUGGCCUACCAAGGCUUUGACGGGUAGCCGGCCUGAGAGGGUGACCGGUCACAUAGGGACUGAGAUACGGCCCAGACUACUACGGGGGGCAGAAGUGGGGAAUAUUGCACAAUGGGGGAAAGCCUGAUGCAGCGACGCCGCGGGAGGGAUGGAGGCCUUCGGGUUGUGAACCUCUUUCGCUCAUGGUCAAGCCGCAACAAUGGUUGUGGUGAGGGUAGUGGGUAAAGAAGCGCCGGCUAACUACGUG